AACGCACGAGACCUGCGGACCUGCGGAAGGAUCAUUAACAAAUUUGUUGAGUAUGUACAAUUGUGAACAGGCCAGAGUUUGUAUCUGAAGAAGCAGAUAAGCAAUUAUUUGUGUAGCUGAAGAAGCAGAUGAGCAAUUAUUUGUGUAGCUGAAUAUUGCGAAGCAGAUAAGCAAUUAUUUGUGUAGCUGAAUAUUUGUGUAGCAGAUGAGCAAUUAUUUGUGUAGCUGAAUAUUGCGAAG
rnacentral:misc_RNA from 1 species